GCCCCGCACGAAGGUUCCGCCCGCCGGGCAGCGCCGGUAACGGCCGGCGCCGCCGCGGCCCCCUCAGGGCGGCGGCGGUCGGGGCGCGGGGCGGCGGCGGCCCCGGCUGGCAGCGGCCCUUGGCUCCUCGCUCAGGCCCCCGUCCUUCUCAAGUUUCGAGUUUUUGCCGCAAUUUAACAUCCCACGCCACAGAACGCGACAGGUGGCAAAUAACCAAGGCAGUACGGCGCGGGAGGUCACGGCCAUCGUGCAAUGAUGAGUAAUGGCACAAUUGUUCGGUAUAUACAGAUAUAUAAAAACAUAUAAAAUAACCAAAAAAAAAACAUGUACUAAACGUAAAUGGUUCAGUUUCUGAACUGUCCUCACUCCUAGAGCUACCUAGAGCUAUCAGUGUAGAUGGGCCACCUGAAUUUUGAGAUACACACGCUUACAGAAAAAAAAAUCGUAAAAAUGUGUAGGAAAUAGUAACCUUGAAAUCGUUCAAGAAAUAAAAAAUUCCACACUACCUCAGUUCUGAACUGACCGGUAAAGAAGUAAAUAAGCAGCCUAACCAGGAAGUACAAAAUACCUACCUAAAAUAAAACUGAUUAAGAAAAGCUAUUGAUCGGUCGGUUAAAUGGUACAUAUGUGCUGCAGCUUCCCAGCACUAGGGCAGCGUUUUCGUGCAGGGUUGAGGCAACUGAGGGAGCUGGAAUCAAGCUGAGGCGGAUAUGCAAGAAAGCCUGCGUCAGGAUGGGAGUCCAGCUGAGUGUCUGCGGAGGAACCUAGUACUUCCAGAGGCUGAAAUGUCCUCCAUCCAUUAAGAAGCUAUGGUGGAACUACUUCACCUACAGAUGAGUCAACUGAAACUUUUUGUGCCUACUGGGUACAACAGCCUGUGGAACAGAUCUGCUGCUUCUGGUCUUUAAUUUCUUCUUCACUGCACCUGUUCCAUUCAGUGUCAUCUCAGGUAAAGUAUGUCACAGCUGAUCUAUCUGUACUGACACCCAGGCAUUCUCUGCAGUGACCCAAGUGGGAUGUGAUCUGCCCCGUAGAAACCAUCUGACAUCACAUCAGUGGUGUUUUCAUCAUUAAAUCAAUACACAAAAAAAGUACUCAAGUUCUCAAAAUGAUUGUGAUUUUACCAGAGUAGUCGCAUGAGAAAUUUCAGUUUGCUUCUACUUACUGGAUCAAUAUAACCUACAUUAACAACAAAAAAAAAAAGUUUUGAAACAACUUUAGCUUCUUCAGCAGUACUGGAGGUUUCCCUUUUAUUGUUCUGUGUGCUAUAACUCUCCCAAAUAAGAAAUGUAUUUAAUCAGAAAAUAAAUGUAUCAAUGUCUAAAUUGAUUUACAGAAGGCCUUCCUUUUUCUGCUGCUUCUCCAACCUUUAAUGGUAAAUAAGAUGAUUAUCUUAUAGACAAUAUAUUUUUUUUAAGUCUAUGUAGAACAUGUGAACAGUUUCCCCUUGAUGAUUUAAUAGUGAACUAGAUAUAAUCAGUGAUGCUGACAGCUUUAUUAUUAAUUUGAGGCUUAUACUAGUUCUUAUAAUUGCCCCUCUUGAAUAGAAAAAGGGUAAUCAAUCAUUUCACUGUCUGAAUUUCAUGCACUAGGCAAAUACUAUUGUGUUUGAAUCACCAGUAUUGUAGGAAAAUAUUUAGGACCCUUCUGUUUAUUCUCCCACUCUUAAAAAAUGACAUCUGUUUUGUUGCAAUUAAGGAUAAAUGCAAACACACACACAAGUAAUAAAACCUACAUUUUCUCGCUGCUAUUUGACAGCUCUAGCAUGAACCUUUGAAAGAAAUCCUCUGCUGAAGUAUAUGUAAAAAAAUUUUAAUAAGUAAUGCAAUUUUUCAGAAGUCAAUCAGGGUCAGGUUGAAGGUGAGGUUGAUGUCUCACUGAUAUUCUGUGGAAUCCAUAUGUUGCAUUGGGCUCUGUUUUUUUCACAAUAAUGAGAGACUAUUAUUUCUUGAACAAAUAUUUCUUAAAAAUGGUGGGAAAUGCCAAAUUCAUCCUGCUUUACUAAACAGUUUCAAAACCAUUAUGUUUUGAGCCUUCAUCUCAACAU